rnacentral:misc_RNA from 1 species
AUACUCCGUAAACCAUUGUGAACGUUACCUUAACCGUUGCUUCGGCGGGCGGUGAGGCCCGGGCGCCCCCAGGCCCCCCCGUGGGCGCCCGCCGGAGGUACACCAAACUCUUGCAUUGUAUGGCCUCUCUGAGUAUUCUGUACUGAAUAAGUCAAAACUUUCAACAACGGAUCUCUUGGUUCUGGCAUCGAUGAAGAACGCAGCGAAAUGCGAUAAGUAAUGUGAAUUGCAGAAUUCAGUGAAUCAUCGAAUCUUUGAACGCACAUUGCGCCCGCCAGUAUUCUGGCGGGCAUGCCUGUUCGAGCGUCAUUUCAACCAUCAAGCCCCCGGGCUUGUGUUGGGGACCUGCGGCUGCCGCAGGCCCCGAAAACCAGUGGCGGGCUCGCUGUCACCCCGAGGGUAGUAGUUUAC